CAAUGUCACAUUGAAACACCGGUUUGUAUUUGAUCACCGGAGUUAAGCAAUGUCAAGCUUAGUCAGUACCUAGACAGGUGACUGCUUGGGAAUACCGGGUGUUGUA